UACGUAGGGGGCAAGCGUUGUCCGGAAUCAUUGGGCGUAAAGAGCGUGUAGGCGGUUCGGUAAGUCGGCUGUGAAAGUCCAGGGCUCAACCCUGGGAUGCCGGUCGAUACUGCCGGACUAGAGUUCGGAAGAGGCGAGUGGAAUUCCCGGUGUAGCGGUGAAAUGCGCAGAUAUCGGGAGGAACACCUAUGGCGAAGGCAGCUCGCUGGGACGUUACUGACACUGAGGCUCGAAAGCGUGGGGAGCAAACAGG
rnacentral:rRNA from 1 species